rnacentral:lncRNA from 1 species
UCAAAUGUCCCGAACAGUCCAUGAGUUUAACAGUCCAAACCAAUCUAAAUUAGUGUAAAACAAUUUUAAUUACAGUCCAAACUACUACAAUCAACUAUGAUAAAACACGGCAAUAACUGAAGCUUCCAAUGAAGUUAUACUUCCAUUUCAUUUCAUUCCAACUGGACAGCUACACGAUUUGAGAUUCAGGACAUGUACCUGAUAUUUAGACCACAAAACAAAGAAGAGUUGGAAGUCAGCUGAAGCAACGCACGAGCAGCAGUAGCAGUAAGCAAUUUUCAGCAGUACAGAACAACAAACAACCCAGAAAAUGAAUCCAGAAAUUCCAGGAAGGUUCAGAACUCAAAUGAAACAAACAGAUAAAACCAAAACCCUUGAAAUGCACUUAGUUAUACUAGAAAGGCAUCAGCAUACUUUCACAGAACCAAAUCUCAAUCAAACACAAUCUAAUUAGACCCAAAAACUGCUCGAAAUCACCCAGCAACCAUUCUGAACAUCAACAAUCAAAGAGUGAACUAGAGGAUGUGAAUUAGUAACUAGAACAUCAACAUCAGUCUACAAUUUCCAAUGAAAUAGUGAUAUGUUUUGAUUUUUUGAGUUUUUUUUUUGAAAUUUAAAUUUCUACUUCAGAUCUGAAAAUUUCAGAGAGAGAGAGAGAGAGUUUUUGGGGGAAUUCGAUGGAAAAAAAAAACCUCUUUCAUGAAGUAAAGGGCAU